rnacentral:rRNA from 1 species
AUACGUAGGGGGCGAGCGUUGUCCGGAAUGAUUGGGCGUAAAGGGCGCGUAGGCGGCCCGGUAAGUCUGGAGUGAAAGUCCUGUUUUUAAGAUGGGAAUUGCUUUGGAUACUGUCGGGCUUGAGUGCAGGAGAGGUAAGUGGAAUUCCCAGUGGAGCGGUAAAAUGCGCAGAUAUUAGGAAGAACACCGGUGGCGAAGGCGUCUAUCGGGAAAGAAACGAACGCUGAGGACCGAAACCGGGGGGAACAAAAAGAAUAACAUCCCCAGGUGGUCUACGCCGUAAACGAUGAAUACUAGGUGUCGGGUGGCAAAGCCAUUCGGUGCCGCAGCUAACGCAAUAAGUAUUCCACCUGGGGAGCACGGUCGCAAGAAUGAAACUUAAAGGAAUUGACGGGG